GGGCCCGUAGCGCAGCAUGGAUAGCGCGGCAGCCUCCUAAGCUGUAGGUCGUGGGUUCGAAUCCCACCGGGCCCG
rnacentral:tRNA from 1 species